GCCCCGGUGGCGGAAUGGUAGACGCUGCGGACUUAAAAUCCGUUGGUAGCAAUAUCGUGCCGGUUCAAGUCCGGCCCGGGGCA
rnacentral:tRNA from 1 species